UAUGUAGGGUGCAAGCGUUAAUCGGAAUUACUGGGCGUAAAGCGUGCGCAGGCGGUUUUGUAAGUCUGUCGUGAAAUCCCCGGGCUCAACCUGGGAAUUGCGAUGGAGACUGCAAGGCUAGAAUCUGGCAGAGGGGGGUAGAAUUCCACGUGUAGCAGUGAAAUGCGUAGAGAUGUGGAGGAACACCGGAUGGCGAAGGCAGCCCCCUGGGUCAAGAUUGACGCU
rnacentral:rRNA from 1 species